rnacentral:rRNA from 1 species
AGAACGAACGCUGGCGGCAUGCCUAACACAUGCAAGUCGAACGAGACCUUCGGGUCUAGUGGCGCACGGGUGCGUAACGCGUGGGAAUCUGCCCUUGGGUUCGGGAUAACAGUUGGAAACGACUGCUACUACCGGAUGAUGACUUCGGUCCAAAGAUUUAUUGCCCAGGGAUGAGCCCGCGUAGGAUUAGCUAGUUGGUGAGGUAAAGCUCACCAAGGCGACGAUCCUUAGCUGGUCUGAGAGGAUGAUCAGCCACACUGGGACUGAGACACGGCCCAGACUCCUACGGGAGGCAGCAGUGGGGAAUAUUGGACAAUGGGCGAAAGCCUGAUCCAGCAAUGCCGCGUGAGUGAUGAAGGCCUUAGGUUGUAAAGCUCUUUUACCCGGGAUCGGAUAAUGACGUAGUACCGGAGAAUAACGCCCCGGUACUAAACCGUCCCGGUGCCCGAGCCGA